GAUUCUUCGGCAAGACAACUUCCUAUAAUUUGAAUAAAAUAGAAAUAUUGAACUAAUGUGCUGACUACAAUAGAAAAUAAAAUUUUGAUAGACCCUCGAAAAGCGCAAUGAAUGUUCUUGAUGAUGUGUGCGAUAAUUGUUGCCAUGUUAAUGAAAGCAGAAGAAACAUGUACAUAUGGAUAUAUCUACGGACCGUUUACAAAACAAC